rnacentral:tmRNA from 1 species
GGGGGCGAAUUGGGUUCGACGGGGAGAAUGAGUCCUGUGCUGCGUGCCGAGGUCCCUACUGGCUCGUUAAACAAGUAGGGAAAACACAAUUGCCGACUAUGAGCCGGCACUAGCUGCAGCCUAAUGCAGCUCGCCUCCAGCACCUGCGCCCGCGGGGGUGUUGAGCGGCGCUGUCACCGUGAGCUAGCGGCUCGCCUGCCCGAGGCGGACCGCGAAACUUCCAGGGCUGGCCGGACGGGAAUCCCGCUCACUGGAGUCCCGGACGGUGAGAUCAAACAGUGAGAUACGCACGUAGAUGCACUUGAUGAAUCUCUUCCGGACGCGGGUUCGAUUCCCGCCGCCUCCACAG